GGGCCACCACCAGGGGAGGCUGCUGCUUAUUUUUUUUACUCAACACGAAAAAACUCUGCCGGUGCGGACACCGGGAGGGUUGAAUGAAUGAGAGUUCUUUGUUUAGUCGGAGGGUGGUGGUGGAUGGCCGUUCUUAGGUGGAGGAGUGAUUUGGCUGGAUAAUUCCAAUGACCAACGAUAUUCUGGACUAUUAAAUAGACGGAAUCUCGAAUAGUAUAUCGCGCUUCUUAGAGGGACAAGCGGUGUCUAGCCGCAUGAAAUAGAGCAAUCACAGGUGUGUGAUGCCCUUAGAUGUCCGGGGCUGCACGCGCGCUACACUGAAGAAUCAUGGUGCGCUUUACCUAGUUCGGAAGAACCGGGUAACCCAAUGUAAAUUCUUUCGUGCUUGGGAUAAGUGAAUUGCAAUUAUUUCGCUUAAACAAGGAAUUGCCAGUGAGAGCGGGUCAUAAGCUCUGGUUGAUUACGUGCCUGUUCUAUGUACACACCGUCCGUACUUGCGAUGGACUGAGUCGUUGCGAG
rnacentral:rRNA from 1 species